AGGGUUGUGGCUCAGUGGUAGAGCGCUUGCCUAGCAUGUGUGAGGCCCUGGGUUCCAUCCUCAGCACCACGU
rnacentral:tRNA from 1 species